CCGUCGACAUGGGCCAGGAAGAAGCCGCCGGGGUCGGCGGCGUGGAAGGCUUCGGCGUCGGCAAGGCCGGGGUUCCAGCCUUCUUCGGCGGCCCA
rnacentral:tRNA from 1 species